rnacentral:RNase_P_RNA from 1 species
CGAGCCGGCCGGGCAGCCGCUGGCGGACAUGAUCCGCUGGAGGAAAGUCCGGGCUCCCCAGGGCAAGGGCGCCGGGUAACGCCCGGGCGGCGCAAGCCGACGGAAAGUGCCACAGAAAACAUACCGCCGGACCCGUCCGGUAAGGGUGAAAAGGUGCGGUAAGAGCGCACCGCGUUUGCGGCAACGCAAACGGCACGGCAAACCCCGCCCGGAGCAAGACCGAAUAGAAAUCCUAUGGCGCGGCCCGCGCCGGAUUCGGGUAGGUCGCAAGAGGCGCCCGGCAACGCGCGCCCCAGAUGAAUGGCUGUCCACGACAGAACCCGGCUUACAGGCCGGCUCGUUUU